CGAAGCAAAUGGAGCGCACCAACAUCUUCGGUUGAGCUGAUAGCGUACUUGGAGGGCUCUCAAUCUGUCUAUCAGGACCUGCGGGCAUGAAACGUAGCGUCCCCAGGCAAAAGGGACGUCAGUACGAAUAAUGUACCAAGUAUGUGAGGCAUGGAAGCAUAAACAAGAACAGUAAUGUAAAGAGAGACAGAUGAGAUACAACCUGUAACAUUUGAGUGCCUUUGGGGGCUACUAAUAUGAAAUGUAUAAUACAUAUAUAUACAUAAACUUUUUUUUUAAACAUUCGCCUCUAUGUUCAUCAUCAUCAUCAUAUCGUACUCGGCCUCAAAGAGGACUCGGUAAAAACAUACCUGGCCAUCAAUAGGCUCGGUAGAAUCGUACCCAGCCACAUGGAGCUCGGUAAUCCAACUGAUCAGUGGUUGCACAAUAGGUGUCGUACCCGGCCGACUAUAGCGCGGCUCGGUAGAGUAAAAUAUAUACAUAUAUAUUCUGAACCUUUCGGAGUGACAUAAGGUCGAUAUUUUCCGUACACAUUAUUAUGAAUAACUCUUGAUCAAGAAUCUUAUAAGAGUCAGAAGUACCAACAACAUUGAUAACAUAAGGAUAAGAGAAACAACAUCAACAUUAAUCGCUCCAUAAGAAGGGAAACAAUGUAAGUACUGCUAGCUUCUAAGAGUGGAGUAUCUUUGGGAGCUCGUUCAUUACGUUAUGUACAAUCGGAGUCAUGCAAAAUAAGGAAAUGAAUAGUAGUAGGAGAUAAUAGACGAUGAAGCAUAAGUUAAUAGCCUAAAUCUUCAAAAAUAUAUUAGAUACCUUAGUAUCUGAUCAUUGUCAUGGCUAAGUUGUGAUCCUAAAUAGAUGGGACCACACAGAUUGCUAUUAAACUAUGUCCAUGAGACAAGCAUAAUAGAUGCUAUGGAAAUCUCUUAAAACAAAUCAUGUACCAAAGGCCAUAAGACAUAGUGG
rnacentral:lncRNA from 1 species